rnacentral:pre_miRNA from 1 species
AAUAACUUCAUUUUUCAGUUUUUUAAUAUAAUAUUUUGACUCUUUGUUUUAUUUAAAAUUUUUUAUGAUUAACAUUUUUAUUGUUACUGGAUGAUAAAAUAUGAAUUGUACUUUAUACGUAACUAAUGUUUUUAAAUUUUUUUACAAAUUUUUCAAAUAAGACGAAUGAUCAAACGUUGGACAGGAAAAAAC